GACGAACGCUGGCGGCGCGCUUAACACAUGCAAGUCGAACGGAAAGGCCUGCUUUCCCUUGUGGAUUGCGGGUACUCGAGUGGCGAACGGGUGAGUAACACGUGAGUGAUCUGCCCCCAACUUGGGUAUAAGCCUGGGAAACUGGGUCUAAUUCCCGAUAGGACUGCAGGGUGGUGCCUGUGGUGGAAAACGAUUUUCUAGUGGUUGGGGAUGAGCUCGCGGCCUAUCAGCUUGUUGGUGGGGGAAUGGCCUACCAAGGCGGCGACGGGUAGCCGGCCUGAGAGGGUGGACGGCCACAUUGGGACUGAGAUACGGCCCAGACUCCUACGGGAGGCAGCAGUGGGGAAUAUUGCACGAUGGGCGGAAGCCUGAUGCAGCGACGCCGCGUGGGGGAUGCCGGCCUUCGGGUUGUAAACUCCUUUCGAGCGCGAGGAAGCCACCUGGUUGGAAGGGUGGUGACGGUAGUGGUAGAAGAAGCACCGGCUAACUACGUG
rnacentral:rRNA from 1 species